UACGGGAGGCAGCAGUGGGGAAUAUUGCACAAUGGGCGCAAGCCUGAUGCAGCCAUGCCGCGUGUAUGAAGAAGGCCUUCGGGUUGUAAAGUACUUUCAGUCGUGAGGAAGGUGUUAAGGUUAAUAACCUUAGCAAUUGACGUUAGCGACAGAAGAAGCACCGGCUAACUCCGUGCCAGCAGCCGCGGUAAUACGGAGGGUGCGAGCGUUAAUCGGAAUUACUGGGCGUAAAGGGCACGCAGGCGGUUAAUUAAGUUGGAUGUGAAAUCCCCGGGCUUAACCUGGGAAUGGCAUUCAAGACUGGUUAGCUAGAGUCUUGUAGAGGGGGUAGAAUUCCAUGUGUAGCGGUGAAAUGCGUAGAGAUGUGGAGGAAUACCGGUGGGCGAAGGCGGCCCCUGGACAAAGGACUGACGCUCAUGUGCGAAAGCGUGGGGAGCAAACAGGGAUUAGAUACC
rnacentral:rRNA from 1 species